rnacentral:tRNA from 1 species
GGAGAGGUGGCAGAGUGGUCGAAUGCGGCGGUCUCGAAAACCGUUAUAGGGGUAACUCUAUCGAGGGUUCGAAUCCCUCCUUCUCCG